ACUCACUAGAUACUGACCCCUACAAAUGCCCACCUCUGGCAGCACCACUGGGGGUGCAUCUUUUCCAUUUCACCUCCAGCUGCUUACGUCAAUAGGAUGCGCAGCGAUCUGGUGGAUUGUGACAUUAGGUCUUCUAAUCUUCAAAGCUCUCUACCUACCGUUUCCACCAGCCGCUCUCCCAAUGGAAGUAGUCGCGUCUUUCUUGGUUCUCCUUGUCAAUGCUUUUGGGGUCUUCAUAGGGAUGCGCGGAAACAAAAUGGAAAGCACCUCAGCGAUAGUCAUCAGUACCGUUCUUUUAUCGAUUGCCGCUGUGGGGGCCAUUUACUACAUGUGGCUACAAACGUAUGUGCUGAUGAUGGAUUUGGCGUUUUCAGCGACCUACCUAGGGAUUAACGGUGUUGCAAUACUGCUUGGUUUCUGGGCUACUCAAAGUGUUGCCAGGCUUGCUCAAGUGCCUGUCUUCAAGCUUGAGGUCGAAAGUGGGAGGAGUGAGAAAAAGAAGAACUAGGCUUGGUGAUAGAGAUUUUUUUCCUUUAUAUAUCUCAGCGGAGCUUUAGGGCGGUUUCCCUCAAGUCUUGUAUAAAUGCUGUAUAUCAUCGAAAAAAGGUAGUGCUAUGGUGAGGUGCUCGCCUUUCAAACCCUUCUGAGCUUCAUGCUCUCAUC
rnacentral:misc_RNA from 1 species